GAGACUCUGUGCGCGUGCAUAUCAAUAAGCGGAGGAAAAGAAACUAACAAGGAUUCCCCUAGUAACGGCGAGUGAAGCGGGAAGAGCUCAAAUUUGAAAUCUUAAAGGGCUUUCCCUUUACGAAUUGUAGUUUAAAGAAGUGUUUUCUGUUGGAGUUUCGGUAAAAGUUCUUUGGAAUAGGACAUCAUAGAGGGUGAGAAUCCCGUAUUUGGUCAUUCCUCCUAGCGUUGUGAUACACUUUCAACGAGUCGGAUUGUUUGGGAAUGCAGUCCAAGAAUGGGUGGUAAAUUUCAUCUAAAGCUAAAUAUUGGCGAGAGACCGAUAGCGAACAAGUACCGUGAGGGAAAGAUGAAAAGAACUUUGAAAAGAGAGUUAAACAGUACGUGAAAUUGUCAAAAGGGAAGCGUUUGACACCAGUGUUGUUUAGUCUCGAAAAUCAAUUAAAUAGUGGCUGGAUUUUGUAGUUAGUAUUGACUUUAUCAGCUUGCUGCACUUUUUUCCUAGUACUUUAUUGAAUGCACUUUUCAGUUUAACAAGUCAACAUCAAUUUCUUUUGUUGUAAAAGGGUCAGAUUGGAAGGUGGCUUGGCUUUCGGAUAAAGUGUUUAUAGCCUUUGAUCUCUGCAAUCCGGAGAGACUGAGGUCUGCAGCGUAGACUCUUCGGGGUUAGAUACAUUUGGUGCUAAGCUAUAGCUUUGUAUAGACAACUUGUUGACUAUAUUUAGCCUCAGUGGCUUACUCGCUUGAUGCUAUUUUACCUACGCUUAGGAUGUUGACAGCAGUAUAGACUG
rnacentral:rRNA from 1 species